GCGUAAAGGGAUGAGAUAUAUCAUACAGUUAUCCCUGUCUGAAAACUAUUGUUGAAAAUUUGUACUCUGAUUUAUAU
rnacentral:snoRNA from 1 species